UACGUAGGGUGCAAGCGUUGUCCGGAAUUAUUGGGCGUAAAGAGCUCGUAGGCGGUCUGUCGCGUCGGCUGUGAAAACCCGGGGCUCAACCUCGGAUCGGCCGUGGCGACUCGUGGGCUGGAGCACUGUAGAGGCGGGUGGAAUUCCGGGUGUAGCGGUGGAAUGCGUAGAGAUCCGGAAGAACACCAGUGGCGAAGGCGGCCCGCUGGGCAGUGGCUGACGCUGAGGCGCGACAGCGUGGGGAGCAAACAGG
rnacentral:rRNA from 1 species